AGAGUUUGAUCCUGGCUCAGGAUGAACGCUGGCGGUAUGCUUAACACAUGCAAGUCGAACGGAGUACUUCGGUACUUAGUGGCGGACGGGUGAGUAACGCGUGAGAAUCUACCUUUAGGACGGGGACAACAAUUGGAAACGAUUGCUAAUACCCGAUAUGCCCUUCGGGGUGAAAUGUUUUUUCGCCUAAAGAUGAGCUCGCGUCCGAUUAGCUAGUAGGUAGUGUAAUGGACUACCUAGGCGAUGAUCGGUAGCUGGUUUGAGAGGACAAUCAGCCACACUGGGACUGAGACACGGCCCAGACACGGACGGGUGGCAGC
rnacentral:rRNA from 1 species